UGCAGUCGAACGCGUUGGCCCAAUUGAUUGAUGGUGCUUGCACCUGAUUGAUUUUGGUCGCCAACGAGUGGCGGACGGGUGAGUAACACGUAGGUAACCUGCCCAGAAGCGGGGGACAACAUUUGGAAACAGAUGCUAAUACCGCAUAACAGCGUUGUUCGCAUGAACAACGCUUAAAAGAUGGCUUCUCGCUAUCACUUCUGGAUGGACCUGCGGUGCAUUAGCUUGUUGGUGGGGUAACGGCCUACCAAGGCGAUGAUGCAUAGCCGAGUUGAGAGACUGAUCGGCCACAAUGGGACUGAGACACGGCCCAUACUCCUACGGGAGGCAGCAGUAGGGAAUCUUCCACAAUGGGCGCAAGCCUGAUGGAGCAACACCGCGUGAGUGAAGAAGGGUUUCGGCUCGUAAAGCUCUGUUGUUAAAGAAGAACACGUAUGAGAGUAACUGUUCAUACGUUGACGGUAUUUAACCAGAAAGUCACGGCUAACUACGUGCCAGCAGCCGCGGUAAUACGUAGGUGGCAAGCGUUAUCCGGAUUUAUUGGGCGUAAAGAGAGUGCAGGCGGUUUUCUAAGUCUGAUGUGAAAGCCUUCGGCUUAACCGGAGAAGUGCAUCGGAAACUGGAUAACUUGAGUGCAGAAGAGGGUAGUGGAACUCCAUGUGUAGCGGUGGAAUGCGUAGAUAUAUGGAAGAACACCAGUGGCGAAGGCGGCUACCUGGUCUGCAACUGACGCUGAGACUCGAAAGCAUGGGUAGCGAACAGGAUUAGAUACCCUGGUAGUCCAUGCCGUAAACGAUGAGUGCUAGGUGUUGGAGGGUUUCCGCCCUUCAGUGCCGGAGCUAACGCAUUAAGCACUCCGCCUGGGGAGUACGACCGCAAGGUUGAAACUCAAAGGAAUUGACGGGGGCCCGCACAAGCGGUGGAGCAUGUGGUUUAAUUCGAAGCUACGCGAAGAACCUUACCAGGUCUUGACAUCUUGCGCCAACCCUAGAGAUAGGGCGUUUCCUUCGGGAACGCAAUGACAGGUGGUGCAUGGUCGUCGUCAGCUCGUGUCGUGAGAUGUUGGGUUAAGUCCCGCAACGAGCGCAACCCUUGUUACUAGUUGCCAGCAUUAAGUUGGGCACUCUAGUGAGACUGCCGGUGACAAACCGGAGGAAGGUGGGGACGACGUCAGAUCAUCAUGCCCCUUAUGACCUGGGCUACACACGUGCUACAAUGGACGGUACAACGAGUCGCGAACUCGCGAGGGCAAGCAAAUCUCUUAAAACCGUUCUCAGUUCGGACUGCAGGCUGCAACUCGCCUGCACGAAGUCGGAAUCGCUAGUAAUCGCGGAUCAGCAUGCCGCGGUGAAUACGUUCCCGGGCCUUGUACACACCGCCCGUCACACCAUGAGAGUUUGUAACACCCAAAGUCGGUGGGGUAACCUUUUAGGAGCCAGCCGCCU
rnacentral:rRNA from 1 species